rnacentral:rRNA from 1 species
AUUGAACGCUAGCGGGAUGCUUUACACAUGCAAGUCGAACGGCAGCGCGGACUUCGGUCUGGCGGCGAGUGGCGAACGGGAGAGUAAUGUAUCGGAACGUGCCCAGUAGCGGGGGAUAACUACGCGAAAGCGUAGCUAAUACCGCAUACGCCCUACGGGGGAAAGCAGGGGAUCGUAAGACCUUGCACUAUUGGAGCGGCCGAUAUCGGAUUAGCUAGUUGGUGAGGUAACGGCUCACCAAGGCGACGAUCCGUAGCUGGUUUGAGAGGACGACCAGCCACACUGGGACUGAGACACGGCCCAGACUCCUACGGGAGGCAGCAGUGGGGAAUUUUGGACAAUGGGGGCAACCCUGAUCCAGCCAUCCCGCGUGUGCGAUGAAGGCCUUCGGGUUGUAAAGCACUUUUGGCAGGAAAGAAACGUCGCGGGCUAAUACCCCGUGGAACUGACGGUACCUGCAGAAUAAGCACCGGCUAACUACGUG